rnacentral:rRNA from 1 species
UGCACAGUCAUAAACUUUGUUAGACAAUUACAACAUCUAUUCGCCGGGGGACUACAAGCGUAAGCUUAAAACCUAAAGGACUUGGCGGUGCUUUAGACCCACCUAGAGGAGCCUGUUCUAUAACCGAUAACCCCCGUUAAACCUCACCUUCUUUUGUCAUCUCCGUCUAUAUACCGCCGUCGUCAGCUUACCCUGUAAAGGUCCAUCAGUAAGCAAAAUUGAUAUCAUCCAAAACGCCAGGUCGAGGUGUAGCAUAUAAGAAGGGAAGAAAUGGGCUACAUUUUCUAAAUCAGAAAAAAACGGAAAUUGCUAUGAAACAGCACAUUUAAGGAGGAUUUAGCAGUAAGUCGAGAAUAGAGAGCUCAACUGAAACUGGCCCUGAAGC